ensembl:snRNA U4 U4 spliceosomal RNA
AGCUACAAGCUUUGGUGAUUUCAACCCCCUCAGCCGCACCUCACAUUAUUGCUAAUUGAAAACUUUUCCCAAUACCCCGCCGUGAUGACUUGAAAUAUAGUCAGCACUGGCAAUUUCUGACAGUCUCUCAGGAGA